rnacentral:rRNA from 1 species
CAGUGGGAGCCUCUUAAUGGGGUGACUGCGUACCUUUUGUAUAAUGGGUCAGCGACUUAUAUUCUGUAGCAAGGUUAACCGAAUAGGGGAGCCGAAGGGAAACCGAGUCUUAACUGGGCGUUAAGUUGCAGGGUAUAGACCCGAAACCCGGUGAUCUAGCCAUGGGCAGGUUGAAGGUUGGGUAACACUAACUGGAGGACCGAACCGACUAAUGUUGAAAAAUUAGCGGAUGACUUGUGGCUGGGGGUGAAAGGCCAAUCAAACCGGGAGAUAGCUGGUUCUCCCCGAAAGCUAUUUAGGUAGCGCCUCGUGAAUUCAUCUCCGGGGGUAGAGCACUGUUUCGGCAAGGGGGUCAUCCCGACUUACCAACCCGAUGCAAACUGCGAAUACCGGAGAAUGUUAUCACGGGAGACACACGGCGGGUGCUAACGUCCGUCGUGAAGAGGGAAACAACCCAGACCGCCAGCUAAGGUCCCAAAGUCAUGGUUAAGUGGGAAACGAUGUGGGAAGGCCCAGACAGCCAGGAUGUUGGCUUAGAAGCAGCCAUCAUUUAAAGAAAGCGUAAUAGCUCACUGGUCGAGUCGGCCUGCGCGGAAGAUGUAACGGGGCUAAACCAUGCACCGAAGCUGCGGCAGCGACACUAUGUGUUGUUGGGUAGGGGAGCGUUCUGUAAGCCUGCGAAGGUGUACUGUGAGGUAUGCUGGAGGUAUCAGAAGUGCGAAUGCUGACAUAAGUAACGAUAAAGCGGGUGAAAAGCCCGCUCGCCGGAAGACCAAGGGUUCCUGUCCAACGUUAAUCGGGGCAGGGUGAGUCGACCCCUAAGGCGAGGCCGAAAGGCGUAGUCGAUGGGAAACAGGUUAAUAUUCCUGUACUUGGUGUUACUGCGAAGGGGGGACGGAGAAGGCUAUGUUGGCCGGGCGACGGUUGUCCCGGUUUAAGCGUGUAGGCUGGUUUUCCAGGCAAAUCCGGAAAAUCAAGGCUGAGGCGUGAUGACGAGGCACUACGGUGCUGAAGCAACAAAUGCCCUGCUUCCAGGAAAAGCCUCUAAGCAUCAGGUAACAUCAAAUCGUACCCCAAACCGACACAGGUGGUCAGGUAGAGAAUACCAAGGCGCUUGAGAGAACUCGGGUGAAGGAACUAGGCAAAAUGGUGCCGUAACU